AUGAGGCUUUGGUUCCAUUUAAUGUUCAUUGUAGCGACUUUGGAAGGUGUCCGGUCCCAGGUGCAGCUGGUGGAGUCCGGAGGGGAUGUGAAAAAGCCCGGAGACUCUCUCCGCCUCUCCUGCACAGCCUCCGGGUUCACCUUCAGCAGCUACAGGAUGGACUGGGUCCGCCAGGCUCCCGGGAACGGGCUGGAGUGGACCGCCAGUAUUUAUACCACUGGCAUAUACUACAGUGACUCGGUAAAAGGGCGAUUCACCGUCUCCAGAGAUGACCCCAACAGCCUGUUGUACCUGCAAAUGACCGGCCUGAAACCCGAGGACACCGCCCGGUAUCACUGUGUCUGA